CAAUUUUUAACCACUUUUUCUAUAAUCUACAAUUUUUAACCAUUUGUAUUUUUUAAUAUAUUUUGUCAUCACACAUGUACACGGUUAUUUAUGCUUGUCAACAAUCUUCAAUAAUUGUUCACGCAUGAGUUGAAGGAGUGUACUAUGACUCUCUAUCAUUUUGUCCUUUUAUGAUUCCCCCAUCACUUUUUGUGCCUAAAAUACCACCGAAGGAAAUGAGUUUGAAAUACCGCACAUAUGUAAAUAUUAUACGAAAAUAAUAUUUACAGGUUAAAAGGAUGCAAAAGAUUCUCUACACCAUAGAAAAUACUGUCUAAAAAAAAUUAAAAUACCAUCGGAACAAAUGAUAAUACCGCCGGUCGAUAUUCUCAAAUAUUCAGACGGUAUAGUGAUUAUGACGAUGGUAUUUUCUUUUUUCGACGACGGUAUUUAAUUUAUUUCCAACGGUAUUCUAAGUACGUCUGGCUCCUUUUAAUUUCACUUUCACGUGAAUAUAAAGUUCUUGCAAGUACACUCAUGUCAAUAUAAAGUGAUUCCUAGUACAUUCACGGGUGAGUAAAUUAAACAUAAAUUAAACACAAAGGCCUCCAUAUAUGUUGAAAGGAUGAAUUAAAUACGACACAAACAUUCAAAACAAGUUGUCUCAAAGGUCUCCAUAUUUGUUGAGUUAUAAUUCUUCUUCUUGGAAGCUUUGGAAUUCUCAGCUGUCAUUUCAUUGGAGAAUUGGGAGAAAAGAAAUUCCAUCGCAUAUCUAUCAACUAAAGGUAAUUCUUACUUUUAUUUUAAAUACUGAAGUAUAUUUCGUAAAUACCGUUGAGUAAUGAUUUAAUACCGUUGCAUAUUUAUCAUUCUAGUGUACAUAGAAAUUGUUGCUAAUAUUAGGUGUAUUUUGCUUGUGGAAAAUUUAUCUUCGAGUAAUAGCAUAUUACCGUCGUAUAAUAUGUACAUACCGUCGUCGAAAUCUUAAAUACCAUCGUCAAAAAAUGUAAAUACCGUCGUAUAUCUAUCAUGUUAAUGUCCAUGCAAUUUUGUUUUUAAUUAAGUAUUCUUUCAUUCUAUUCUAACAACCUUUGCAUAUGAGAUAAAUACCUUGGUAAUGUUGAUGAAUAUCGUCGAUUACUUGAUUAAUACCAUUUUCUUAUAGUGUAAUGUCGUUGCAUAUUUAUCAUUGUAGCGUAUAUAGACAUUGUUGAUAUUAUUAGGUGAAUUUUGCAUGUGGAGAACAUACCUUCGAUUAAUAAAUUAAUAUCGUCGUCGAAUAUGUACAUACCCUCGUCGAAAUGGUAAAUACCAUUGCUUAAGUUCAUUUAAUACCGCCCGAUUUCUAUCAUGAUAGUGUCCAUGCAAUUGUGUUGUAAUUAAGCAUUCUUUCAAUUAUUUGUAAAUACCUUCGAAUUGUAGUUAAAUACCUUCGGAAUGUCGAUAAACACCGUCGCAUAAUUGUUAAAUACCAUCGUGUAAUAGUUUAAUAUUUUCGCAUAUUCAUGAAUAAAGAUUUAAUUGAUGGGUUUUUCGUAAAUAAUUUGGUUUAGAGCGAUUAAUGAUUUGUGGUAUAAGCUAAUUUAUAGGAGAAUAUAUUAUUUGUAUUUUAAUUUAUUUUAUUCGUAAUUUACAGAUGACGGAGUGGAAAAACGUCCUUGUGAGAUAUGGAGGACAUUGGAACGAUGUCUUAUAUUGUGGUGGAGGUGCUACAUUUGCUUAUGUUCAGACAAAUAACAUAAGCAUUUCGGAGUUAAGGCAAAAUAUCAAUUACUACUUGAUGGAAAAUUCACUGAGUACCGUCUACAAUUUAUACUAUCUAUCGAGAUCUCGAAGUGGCAGGAUCAUUCGAUCUCUUUUAAGUACCGAUGACCAACUUUCUCGACUUUGUGCCUUUGAGGUCGAGCCACAGGUUUAUAUGACACAUGAUGGUGGCACUUCCCAAUCGGAGCAAGAAGUUUAUCGACCUUCGAUCGAGAUAUCGUAUGCAUCUACUUAUGAGCACCCUCCUCAGCCCACUUCAUUCGAGGAGCCCAUCUCAAACCACAUGAGAGGUUUUGAUUGGUUUGCUGAUAAUAAUGAUGAUGAAGAGUAUAUUCCUGUAGGCGCACGAAUUUUAAAAGAAAUAAAAAUAUUUUAUUAAUUUUAUAUCUUUAUUUAUUUUGGAAUCUUAUGAAAUCCAAGAUUAAAUAUGAUAUAUUAUUGAUAAAGAUAUUACCAUAUUUCAAAGAUAGAGAUCAAUUUAUUUGGCAGCAAGUCAAAUCUAAUAUUGAUAUGUAUCAAUCUUCAAAAGCCAAUAUGAUCGUGCCACGUCAGCCCUAAGCCCAUAAUCAUGUGGGCUUUGGCCCAAAGCCUGACUCUUCCUACAACUAUAAAUAGGGGUCCCCAUAUCAGUUCUAAACACACACAAAUAAUUUGAGAGCUCAAGCAUUGAAGGAGUAAUUCACUACAACGAAGUCAUCUCCAACAAUCAAGGCGUUCUACGAGGAAGUCAACGAGUUCUUCAUCAAAUUCGUCAAGUCAACGUUUGAUUCGGAAAUAAAGUGGAAGCCCUCUGGAUUGACGUCAUCAAAUUCAAAUUCAAGUUCAAGUCAUCAAAUCAAAUCCAAGGAGAUCAAGAAGGCGAACUUCCCUCCAAAGAUUUCAAGAAACAUAUCAAAUUCAAAUUCAAGUUCAAGUCAUCAAGUCAAAUCCAAGGAGAUCAAGAAGGCGAACUUCCCUCCAAAGAUUUCAAGAAACACAUCAAAUUCAAAUUCAAGUUCAAGUCAUCAAAUCAAAUCCAAGGAGAUCAAGAAGGCGAACUUCCCUCCAAAGAUUUCAAGAAACAUAUCAAAUUCAAAUUCAAGUUCAAGUCAUCAAGUCAAAUCCAAGGAGAUCAAGAAGGCGUACUUCCCUCCAAAGAUUUCAAGUAACAUUUGAAGAGGAUAAUCAGAGGAUCAAGUGAAGAUUCGCAACCCGCAACAAAUUCAUCUCAAUCCAUAUAUUUUGGAUUUAUACACAUUUUUGUAUUUCAUUAAAUUGAAUACAAUAAAAUUUGUGUUUACAAAUUUUGGCACGCCCGGUGGGACAUCUCUACCUCUCAUCUCUCCUCUUCACCAACAACAACUCAAGCAAAUUCAAAUGGAGAACAAAGCUUCAAGUGCUGCCCUAAACAUCACUUUGGAGAACAUUGGUGUUAUCACUCGAGGCAAAGCUAUGUAAUUGGAGGAGAUUUUCAAGCCUGCUUCAGCAAUGGAAGAGCUUUUAACCGCGAGCUACUAUCUUGAAGCUCCUGNCAAAGAUUUUCAAGAAACACAUCAAAUUCAAAUUCAAGUUCAAGUCAUCAAAUCAAAUCCAAGGAGAUCAAGAAGGCGAACUUCCCUCCAAAGAUUUCAAGAAACAUAUCAAAUUCAAAUUCAAGUUCAAGUCAUCAAGUCAAAUCCAAGGAGAUCAAGAAGGCGUACUUCCCUCCAAAGAUUUCAAGUAACAUUUGAAGAGGAUAAUCAGAGGACCAAGUGAAGAUUCGCAACCCGCAACAAAUUCAUCUCAAUCCAUAUAUUUUGAAUUAAUACACAUUUUUGUAUUUCGUUAAAUUGAAUACAUUAAAAUUUGUGUUUACAGUUCCAUCAACAGACACUGAUGAUGAAGAAGAUGAGGAUGAUGAAGAAGCAGAGGAGCGUGAGUCUGCUUGAGUUGAUUAUGGCACAUUUGCUGAGCAUAUUGCUUGGAUUCGUCGGGAGGGAGGAAUCGGGCAGCUUAUGUCCAUGAUAAUGCAGACAAACCCGCAAAGGCUUGAAGAAGAGUUGGGACCCGAAUUAAUUGUACUCGGCCUCAAAUAAAUAGAAUUCUCCUAUAAUUUAAAAAUAAAAAUCAUUAAAACAAAUUUAUUUAAAUGUAACACUUACAAUUGUAAAAUAAUAUUAAAACACAAACUUUCCCUUCUUAUAUAUAUAAUCUAUUUUUCCAUUCUGUAUAAUAUUCUUUCAUGAAAAAUACAACACAUUAUCUUGUCAAGUCAGUUUUAGCUUUUAAUAAACCAACAUGUCAAUUUCUCCAAUCAUAGUUGCUUUUUUUUUUGUAAGUACAUUAUUAUUUAGCUUAUUUAUACAACGAACCCCUAGACCUCUUUUAUAACAUUUUGAGCCAAUUUAUUGUAAUAAUUAUUAAGCAUAUAUAUAACAAUUCUAACAACAAUGAAAACAUUAUAUCUCCUCUAAAAAAUAAAACAUUCAUCUUUCAUAUCACAUUCCAAUAUUAAUUCUUAAAUAAUGAUAAUAUAUAAUGAACACGUUACAAGGUAUUAUUCUCAAGGAAUUCUCAAGGUACACUUUAUUCUGUUAACUUUGCACCAUUUUAUAGCAACAAAACUAUCUAAUCUUUUCAUUUUUCAACUCUAAAGUUGGUUUAUUAUAUUCGAAUAGUCACUUUGCACCAUUUUAUUUUUCACUUUAAUUUGCACCAUUUUAUUGCACAUACUAUAAAGCAAGUUGGCUACAUAAAUCAAUUUAAUUUUAGUGUUACGUAUAAAUUAACUUACGAAACAGGACAUCACACUAAAUUAUGUUCUAAAUUUUGAAUUGAAGUCAAAUUUUGCAAUAUGGACUGCACUAAUAUCAACUAUGCUAUAUACACAUUGGGUUUCGAAUCUAUUAAUGAUUUUCUUAAUAACCCAAUUCAAUUAUAUUAUUACUAAUCUCACAUUAGUUAUUUGAAUUUCUCCAACUCAAAUAGACAUAAACAAGUACAAUCACGCUUGUUAUCUAUUUAAUCUAAAAUAUAUACCAUCAGAUAACUUAGAAUACCGCCGGAAAAGAAAAAANUACCUCCGGAAAAGCUUAAAAUACCAUCGACCGAUAUUUUCAAGUAUUCUAACAAUAUACUCAAAUCACGAUGGUAUUUUUGAUUUGCAACGACGGUAUUACAAUUUUAUGCGACGGUAUUACAAUUAUUUACGGCGGUAUUAAAAUCGACUAACUAAUAAUACCUCCUGCGGUGCAUCCAUGACGGAAAUGGAGAGAAGCUGACGAGAUUUCAGGUGGUAGAAAGCUGAUACUUCGCCGGUAGAGAUCCGAGAGGGAGUCAAAGAACGUCCACCGGAAAAACGGAGCCGGCUAGGAUCUGAGAGGCUGAGCUCGUUCAGAGCCUGAGUUCGCCGGUUGAAAGCUUGAGUUUGUUGAAAGGCGAGAGGGAGAUGACAACAGACGAGAGGGAGACGGCGAGAGGCGACAGAAAGCUUGAGUUUGUUGAAAGGCGAGAGGGAGACGACAACAGACGAGAGGGAGACGGCGAGAGGCGACAGGGAGAUGGCGAGGCGGAGAUGGCGAAGACGGCGAGGCGAAGGGAGACGGCUUGCGGCGGUAAUUUUUUUGGAGAAACCAAACCCUACUUGCGGUGGUAUUUCCACACUUUUUACACAUCAUAUAUCAAGAACAGUAAAAAUAAAAUUCAGUCACUUUUUGUAUUCAAUGCUCGGUAGGUUUGGUGAAGAAUAAAUUCACUUACACACAUUCAUUUUUUUCUGACCACUUUUCAGCCACUUUUGCAGACACUUUUUUCAGCCACUUUUCAAAAAUAAAUACUAUAAAAUUGAAAUGGGUAUAGAGUAGAGGAUUUUGAAAAAGUGGGUAAAACUUGUAGACACUUUUGAAUAUUUGUGUAGUUUUGUAUAUUGCCACUAAAAUUAAUAUUAAUUUAAUUAUUAAUAUUAUAAAUAUAAUAAAUAUUAAUAUUG
rnacentral:lncRNA from 1 species